rnacentral:ncRNA from 2 species
CGGGCCUCAACGGGGUGCCCGGCAACCGGGCUGAGAGGGGCGCAUAACGGCGCCACGACCCGUAGAACCUGAUCCGGGUCGUGCCGGCGGAGGGAUUGAGCAUCGACGCCCG